UACGGAGGGGGCAAGCGUUAUCCGGAUUCACUGGGUUUAAAGGGUGCGUAGGUGGGCAGGUAAGUCUGUCGUGAAAUCUCCCGGCUUAACCGGGAGGCUGCGGCGGAAACUGGUGUGCUAGAGGGUGGGAGAGGUAAGCGGAAUUCCUGGUGUAGCGGUGAAAUGCGUAGAUAUCAGGAGGAACACCUGCGGUGUAGACAGCUUACUGGACCACUUCUGACGCUGAGACACGAAAGCGUGGGUAGCAAACAGG
rnacentral:rRNA from 1 species